rnacentral:ncRNA from 1 species
CAUUGGCGAAGGAGUAUGCCUUAAUUCUCAGUG